rnacentral:misc_RNA from 1 species
UUUCCGUAGGUGAACCUGCGGAAGGAUCAUUAAUGAGUUGUCAUGGGGUUCGAUGCUGGCAGCCAGUUUUUGGAUGCAUGUGCUUGCCCUAACUAUCAUCUUCUUCCAAACACCUGUGCACAUUUUUGAGGGAGUCUUGAGUUGGUUGCCGCUCUUGGGUGAUUUUCUCACAUCCCCUUAAAUCAUUAUACGCUAUUAACAAUGUUGAACGUGCUCUGUGCCGCAAGGCCAUUAAUAUAAUACAACUUUUAACAACGGAUCUCUUGGCUCUC